CAGUUUUAGGGAUGAGGAGUAGUAAGAGGUCUUAAUAUAUGGUUUGGUAUUCUUUGUCCAUACGCGGUUUUCUCUUUUACUACAUUUCUUAUUAUUUAAUUCAAGACUACAUUUCUUAUUAAUAGAAAUAUAAAUAAAUCAUUACUGUUGUCCAUCCUUUUUCUUAUCAUCUUAGUCUAGAAAUUAAAAAUAUGUAAUAAUGAGUUAUAGUUGUGUUUGUAUUAUUAUUAGAGUGGCAGAACAGACUAGUUCUGUCCGUUUAAGACUAGCCUGAUAUAGGUUUAUCUAAACUGGUCUAUCAAUUGGAAAUAGGUUGAAAUUUACAACAUAGAUCGUGAGUUGCCGGAUUGUCAGUUUUGAUUUUUUUUCCUAAACAAACUAAAAUAUGUUGUAGAUUGUGUGGGUCACCAAUUUUUAUUAUUUUUUGCUACAUUAUCACAUUAGC
rnacentral:lncRNA from 1 species